UGGGAUUCCAACCUAAGCCAAAGGCAGAUGCUCAACCACGGAGCCAUCCAGGCACCUGGACAGCUCCAAUGACCUGUGGCUACAGACCGCUCCUAAUGUGAGUUUUCUGAAGAGGAUGAACCAACAUCUUGGAAACACAACAGGGAGAGCACAGGUGCUACAACAGAACAGUUUCUCCUGAACACCCCCGGCAGAGCUGUAUGUGCCCAUUCUUCUGAUAUAAACUGAGUCAACCCUGAUUUCCAGAGACGUCAUUUUCAAGCAAACAAUUUUCUUAAGUUUUCCACUUUCUCCACAUCAGCUGCCUAAGAGAAGAUGUCUGGGUGAUAACUUCAUUUUUAAGGGGAAUGAGCUUUAAAGAGUACACUUUAUCUUGUCAGCAUUUUGGAUUCACAUUGUCUUCCCACCCUUUCCCCCUAAAGGAUUGGCUUUCACAAGAUGCUAAGUGAGACACAGCUGCAAACAUUCAAGACAGUGAAGGAAGGAAAAACAGAAGAGUCACUAAUGAGCUCUCUAAACUGGACCCUCAAAUGAAUCAUCCUUCUUUCCUACCUGGUGUUUCUGGAAGAGUUUAUGUCAGUAAUGGAAAAUUUGAAAGCUCUCAUAUAAUUCCAUUUUUUUUCCACUCCAGCUCUGAACAACAUCCUGCAUAUUAAGAUGCAUGGCCUAGUACAGUCGUUUUCACACAGUGCCCUCAGGAAUCCUCACGAACAUCUUGGCAUGGAAUCUGGACACUGCCCAGCACUUGACACAAGAAGGGGUUGGUGGUAGAGAAAAAAAUAGGUUUCCAAACCACUGACUUCAUGGUGAGAUUCAAAGGCAGCAGGGUGACUAUACGUGAAAUGGCUGGAGAAUGUGAUGUUCCAGAGACACAAUCUUGCUAAUGCUGGUUCCAGGACUGUGAAACAAGGGGAAGGACAAGGUGAUCACCACCCACCUUCUAAAGUUCAAUGCUUCUGCGAUUGAAGAUCUUGCGCAGGGCUGUCCACGUGGUUAUGUCAUUCCUGAACAUUCCUUCUGAUUGAACAAGCCAUAUGGCUUUUGGUUCAGUUGCCAGGCAGCCUGGCCAAGGUCCUAUCAACAUAUCAACCAGAUGAGGUGGGGGAAGGAGAAAAAGAACACCAAAUGCUGGCUGUGCUGAACAGUAAAGAGAAAACAGGGACAUGAAAUCAUGGGCCAGAGAUUGACCUUAACAGCUGUAAAACCAAUCAUCUCUGUAUUUCACUGUGUUGCAAGGAACAUCGAUAGAGGAAAAAUCACAGUAGCCCUUAAUACAUGAUAAUGUCUCUCAUGGGCUUACUUCUGGUAUAUUUUAAAUACAUGACAAAACCGAAAAAGCUACAGUUUCAGAUCUUGCCAGAAACUUGGAUUUUACUUGAACUAUAAAAGAGUCAAGGGAAGUUUACCGGGGCUGACAUCAGGAGAAACUAUUUUAAUACAGACUACCCUGCUGGAGUUUCACCAGAGCCUAACAACCUAGGGAAGUGAAAUAACCAACUCCAGAUCAUUUCAGACAUCUUGUCCCCUCCAAGUGGGGUUAAAAACUGAGAAGCAUUGGUCAAGUUUGCGGGACCUAAUCACACGCCUACAGAGGCUUCCCAGUCCCUCAGACCUCACCUAUUAUGUUAUUGAAGGUCUAUUUGGGGGUGUCUGGAUGGUGCAGUUAUACUGUCUACUCUUGGUUUCAGCUAGGGUUGUGAUCUCAGGGUCACGGGAUCGAGCCCCAUGUCAGGCUCCGAGCUCAGCAUGGAAUUUUAUUGAGAUUCUCUCUUUAUUUAUUUAUUUU